rnacentral:tRNA from 1 species
GGGGAUUUAGCUCAGUGGUAGAGUACUUGUCUAGCAAGCACAAGGCCCUGAGUUCAGUCCCCA